AGAAAAGAUAAAGGCAAGCGUUGCAAUUGGUAAACCAAAUCUCAUUGUGUUUCUCUUUUUCUUUUGUUUUUCUUUUGUGGGAGAGUUUUUCUUUGUAUAUUUUUUUAAU
rnacentral:ribozyme from 14 species